rnacentral:tRNA from 1 species
UCCCUGAUGGUCCAAUGGUUAGGACUUUGAGGUCUCAAUGCAAGGGGUGUGGGUUCCAUUCCUAGUCAGGAAA